UAUCUUUCUCUCUUGUGCAAAUCGGGCGAAUGAAGCUGUCAAUGUUGCCGUGCGGGACAGAUAGUGAGCACAGAAGACAGGCUGCUGUGACGCAUGGUGGAAAGAGCUCCUGACCAUUUAGGCAGUGGCAGGAGAGCAUGAAGAAGCCAUGGUUUGAAAUGGAAAGACAGCACUUGAGCGUGCAUGCAUCGAAGCCCCGGCGGUUUCUCGGUGCUCUUCGGUGAGAAACGACCGACUGGCGGUCGACAGAAGAAGAUGGAAAAGUAGGUCCGUCUCUCGCGCAACGAGGUCCUUUUCCUUUCCUCUUCAUCUCGUUUUUCCU
ensembl:ncRNA ZK867.18 ncRNA